AUGAACUUUAAGGACAGCUCUCAGCAGCUUAAUUUGCAAAUGCCAGUAUUUUCCCUCUCCAUAACGGGCUCACCUUCUUCGGUUCAACGUCAAAUAGAAGCAAACGGAAAAUUUGCUUCUAAGAAGCACAGAUUAUUUCAGGGGAGUAAAGUUCUCUGCCUUAAAGACUUUUCUACUUAACAGCAAUCUCAACAAUUUGGGAGGCCGAGGCGAGAGAUUCGCUUGAGCUCAGGUGUUCAAGAGCAGCCUGGGCAACAUAGGGAGACCCUGUCUCUACAAAAAAAUCUUAAAAUUAGCCAGGCGUGCUGGUUCACACCUGUGAUCUCAACCACUCAGGAGGCUGAGAUAGGAGGAUCUCUUGAGCCCAGGAGGUUAAAGCUGCAGUGAGCCAUAAUCACGCCACUGUUCUCCAGCCUGGGGGACAGAGCAAGACCCUGAAAAAAAAGAAAGAAAAGAGAAAGAAAAGGAGAGAGUCACCAUCGUAUAACAUGUCACAUAUCAACCUGGAGCUUCUGGGAACCACUUUGCCAACACAGGUAGCAGCCUGCUUGAGAAUAAACGAACACAAAGGAAAGCAAAUAAAGAUGCAAGAGAAUAAGUUGAGUCCGAUGACACCACCAAAAUUCCUGGAUCCAAAAGGGCCUGAAGCCUCCAUGGACAUUUUAGGUAUAUGAGCCAACUCGCUCAUUUUCUAAAUUAAGUUGGUUUAAGUUGAACUUUCUGUUGCUUGCA
rnacentral:lncRNA from 1 species